rnacentral:rRNA from 1 species
GAUGAACGCUGGCGGCGUGCCUAACACAUGCAAGUCGAACGGAGUCCAGCCUUUAAGACCUUCGGGUCAAAGAGGGGAAGACUGAGUGGCGGACGGGUGAGUAACACGUGGGCAACCUCGCUCAUAGAGGGGGAUAACAGAGAGAAAUUUCUGCUAAUACCGCAUAAGCACACACUGCCGCAUGGCAGAGGGUGAAAAGAGAAUCGCUAUGAGAUGGACCCGCGUCUGAUUAGCCAGUUGGCAGGGUAAGAGCCUACCAAAGCGACGAUCAGUAGCCGAUCUGAGAGGAUGAACGGCCACAUUGGGACUGAGACACGGCCCAAACUCCUACGGGAGGCAGCAGUGGGGGAUAUUGCACAAUGGGGGGAACCCUGAUGCAGCGACGCCGCGUGAGUGAAGAAGUAUUUCGGUAUGUAAAGCUCUAUCAGCAGGGAAGAUAAUGACAGUACCUGAAUAAGAAGCCCCGGCUAACUACGUG